GUUCCCCUUUAAUAAUGUAUUCUUUUCGUAUGAUUAUUUAACGCUGUACUCGCGGCAUGAAUGACGUUUGCAAAAAUAAAGGAAACACGGCUGGCGUAAUAUCGAAAUAUAGAGUUUCACGGGAAAAUGGGAUCUAACCUUGUUUUUUAUUGUCAUAAAUUUAGACUUCAUCCUGCGUAAUAUUAAUUAGUAGCUUCUGUCCGAUGUCUCAGCUCCAUUCUCGUUUAAACAGAUUUGUCGUUUCCAUAACAAAGCAGAAUCCUUUCAUUAUGUCCGAUCUCCAAAGACCUGUUGGAUACUUUUGAGUGCCAGUUCAAAUAAAGCACGCGAAUUUUCAGCCCGACUUCGUUAUGUGCGAGUGUGGUGACUCUCCCUUUUUAAUUUCUUAGGACGUUUGUUGGGAAAGCCUACCUGAUUUGAAAACCUGCUAAAAUAUUACAAAGUCGUGGACCGAUGUAACUGAGCACGGAGCAAGUACUCCACCGAUCGACACCUUAAAACUCUGCGACGAGUCCCCGGGGAUUGGCAUGGAUGGGUGCGAAUCUAGAGCAUGGGGAAUGUCAGAGAUCCAGUGGUAACGACCAGCUGCUAUUCGUCAGAACCGCGCUCUCUCAGAAGAUCCAUUAUAAUCUCCACUCAUCGAUCUGUACAUUCGUCUCAUUUUACACCGAAUCCCUUCAGUCAAUCAGUCUUCAACAGCACCCGAAAGCUCACAGCAGAUAAUCUGAAAAUCGUGACCAACGCUAAUCUUCUGACACGUUUUGUGGCGUUUAAAUGUUUAAUUUAUGUUUUUCUGUCGUGGAUAAUUGGGGUAUUUAUUUUUAGACUCCUCGUCUUUGGAUUUAAUGUUGAACAAGAGUACCGUUGCUGUCAUGUAUUCAUUCAAAUAAAUGACACGUUAAACAUUU